AUUGAACGCUGGCGGCAUACCUUACACAUGCAAGUCGAACGGCAGCACGGGAGCAAUCCUGGUGGCGAGUGGCGAACGGGUGAGUAAAGUAUCGGAACGUGCCCAGUCGUGGGGGAUAACGUAGCGAAAGUUACGCUAAUACCGCAUACGAUCUAUGGAUGAAAGCGGGGGAUCGCAAGACCUCGCGCGAUUGGAGCGGCCGAUAGCAGAUUAGGUAGUUGGGGGGGUAAAGGCCCACCAAGCCGACGAUCUGUAGCUGGUCUGAGAGGACGACCAGCCACACUGGGACUGAGACACGGCCCAGACUCCUACGGGAGGCAGCAGUGGGGAAUUUUGGACAAUGGGCGCAAGCCUGAUCCAGCCAUGCCGCGUGCAGGAUGAAGGCCUUCGGGUUGUAAACUGCUUUUGUAGGGAACGAAAAGGAUUGACUUAAUACGUUGGACUCAUGACGGUACCGUAAGAAUAAGCACCGGCUAACUACGUGCCAGCAGCCGCAGUAA
rnacentral:rRNA from 1 species